rnacentral:rRNA from 1 species
UACAGAGGUCCCAAGCGUUGUUCGGAUUCACUGGGCGUAAAGGGUGCGUAGGCGGUCGGGUAAGUCUGAUGUGAAAUCUCACAGCUUAACUGUGAAACUGCAUUGGAUACUAUCCGGCUAGAGGAAUGGAGGGGAGACUGGAAUACUUGGUGUAGCAGUGAAAUGCGUAGAUAUCAAGUGGAACACCAGUGGCGAAGGCGAGUCUCUGGACAUUUCCUGACGCUGAGGCACGAAAGCCAGGGGAGCAACCGGG